rnacentral:rRNA from 1 species
CGGAUUAUUGGGCGUAAGCGCGCGUAGGCGGUUUUUUAAGUCUGAUGUGAAAGCCCACGGCUCAACCGUGGAGGGUCAUUGGAAACUGGAAAACUUGAGUGCAGAAGAGGAAAGUGGAAUUCCAUGUGUAGCGGUGAAAUGCGCAGAGAUAUGGAGGAACACCAGUGGCGAAGGCGACUUUCUGGUCUGUAACUGACGCUGAUGUGCGAAAGCGUGGGGAUCAAACAGGAUUAGAUACCCC